UCCAGCGGCUAUAGCUCGUUGAACGUACUUGUUCCCCAGGGAUCACUGAAGUGAAGCAACGUUGCGUGUGGUUAGAUGGGUGACCAUCUAGGCAACAGAGUGCUCCUGGCU
rnacentral:rRNA from 1 species